rnacentral:rRNA from 1 species
UACGUAGGGUGCAAGCGUUAUCCGGAAUUAUUGGGCGUAAAGAGCUCGUAGGCGGUUUGUCGCGUCUGCUGUGAAAACCCGAGGCUCAACCUCGGGCCUGCAGUGGGUACGGGCAGACUAGAGUGCGGUAGGGGAGAUUGGAAUUCCUGGUGUAGCGGUGGAAUGCGCAGAUAUCAGGAGGAACACCGAUGGCGAAGGCAGAUCUCUGGGCCGUAACUGACGCUGAGGAGCGAAAAGCGUGGGGAGCGAACAGG